GCAAACAAAUUUGCAAACGAACAACAAAAUGUAACAAAACAGAUUUGAACUACUGUGAAACAAGCAGCUGUUACAGAGAUAUUCAUUUUGGUUCAUCUUCAACGCUUUUGUAAAUACAAUACCAUAAAUAGACGUACAUGCACGCAUGGUAAACAUAAGGAGUCGGGUAAAAUUUCAGUCCCACUUUUAGAAAUGCCUUAACAUACAUCGAUUCAUGUGGAAUUAGAUUUGCAGAAAACAUUUUGGAACACUCAAUUCGCGGUUCCAUCCACUGUUACAAAUAUUUAAAAAUCUAACUAUAUGGGGGUUUUUCAAACAUUUAAAAAUCUAACUAUAUGGGGGUUUUUUCAAACGUUUUUAAAUUUAGAAACAGUUCCUGUUACUUCAUGAGAGUUUGAAAAAAAAAAAUUCUGCCUGAAUACUUGUAAAAAAUAAGAAAGAAAGCAAAA